rnacentral:rRNA from 1 species
UACGUAGGGUGCGAGCGUUAAUCGGAAUUACUGGGCGUAAAGCGUGCGCAGGCGGUUUUGUAAGUCAGAUGUGAAAUCCCCGGGCUUAACCUGGGAACUGCGUUUGAAACUACAAGGCUAGAGUGUGGCAGAGGGGGGUGGAAUUCCACGUGUAGCAGUGAAAUGCGUAGAGAUGUGGAGGAACACCGAUGGCGAAGGCAGUCCCCUGGGUUAACACUGACGCUCAGGCACGAAAGCGUGGGGAGCAAACAGG